rnacentral:rRNA from 1 species
UACAGAGGUCCCGAGCGUUGUUCGGAUUCACUGGGCGUAAAGGGUGCGCAGGUGGCCGCGCAAGUUUGAUGUGAAAUCUCCGGGCUCAACCCGGAAAUGGCAUUGAAUACUGCGUGGCUGGAGGUUUGGAGGGGGGACUGGAAUUCUCGGUGUAGCAGUGAAAUGCGUAGAUAUCGAGAGGAACACCAGUGGCGAAGGCGAGUCCCUGGACAACACCUGACACUGAGGCACGAAAGCCAGGG